rnacentral:tRNA from 1 species
GCGGUCGUGGCGGAACUGGCAGACGCGCUGUCUUCAGGCGGCAGUGGGAUUUUCCCGUGGAGGUUCGAGUCCUCUCGACCGCA